rnacentral:rRNA from 1 species
UCCUGGAGCCUGACCACCCUGUUCUGUAACCUAGUGUCAAGUCUUGAAAGCUAAACAGGAUUGGACCAGGUUAGUAUUUGGAUGGGAGACCUCCACGUAACACCGAGAUGCUGGAA